GACGAACGCUGGCGGCGUGCCUAAUACAUGCAAGUAGAACGCACAGUUUAUACCGUAGCUUGCUACACCAUAGACUGUGAGUUGCGAACGGGUGAGUAACGCGUAGGUAACCUGCCUGGUAGCGGGGGAUAACUAUUGGAAACGAUAACUAAUACCGCAUAAUAUUAAUUAUUGCAUGAUAAUUGAUUGAAAGAUGCAACUGCAUCACUACCAGAUGGACCUGCGUUGUAUUAGCUAGUAGGUGAGGUAACGGCUCACCUAGGCGACGAUACAUAGCCGACCUGAGAGGGUGAUCGGCCACACUGGGACUGAGACACGGCCCAGACUCCUACGGGAGGCAGCAGUAGGGAAUCUUCGGCAAUGGACGAAAGUCUGACCGAGCAACGCCGCGUGAGUGAAGAAGGUUUUCGGAUCGUAAAGCUCUGUUGUAAGAGAAGAACGGGUGUGAGAGUGGAAAGUUCACACUGUGACGGUAUCUUACCAGAAAGGGACGGCUAACUACGUG
rnacentral:rRNA from 1 species